rnacentral:tRNA from 1 species
UCCAGGGUAGCCUAGUGAACAUGGCACCUGCCCGGUAAGCAGAAGGUUGUGGGUUCGAUUCCCGCCCCUGGAA